rnacentral:rRNA from 1 species
UACAGAGGGGCAAGCGUUGUUCGGAAUUACUGGGCGUAAAGGGCGCGUAGGCGGCCUGUUAAGUCGAACGUGAAAUCCCCGGGCUCAACCCGGGAACUGCGUCCGAUACUGGCAGGCUUGAAUCCGGGAGAGGGAUGCGGAAUUCCAGGUGUAGCGGUGAAAUGCGUAGAUAUCUGGAGGAACACCGGUGGCGAAGGCGGCAUCCUGGACCGGUAUUGACGCUGAGGCGCGAAAGCCAGGGGAGCAAACGGGGA